rnacentral:misc_RNA from 1 species
GAUGAAGAACGUAGCAAAAUGCGAUAAGUAAUGUGAAUUGCAGAAUUCAGUGAAUCAUCGAAUCUUUGAACGCACAUUGCGCCCGCCAGCAUUCUGGCGGGCAUGCCUGUUCGAGCGUCAUUUCAACCCUCGAGCCCCCCCGGGGGCCUCGGUGUUGGGGGACGGCACACCAGCCGCCCCCGAAAUGCAGUGGCGACCCCGCCGCAGCCUCCCCUGCGUAGUAGCACACACCUCGCACCGGAGCGCGGAGGCGGUCACGCCGUAAAACGCCCAACUUUCUUAGAGUUGACCUCGGAUCAGGUAGGAAUACCCGCUGAACUUAAGCAUAUCAAUAAGCGGAGGA